rnacentral:tRNA from 1 species
CGCAGCGACAGCGCGGCGGCGGCGCCGAGCGCCGCGACGGCGCCGAUGCGCCAGAGCAGCCGAGCGGUCGUUCGGUUCGGUGUGUUGUGC